rnacentral:tRNA from 1 species
CGGGGUGUAGCUCAGCCAGGUUUAGAGUACUCGUCUGGGGGGCGAGGGGUCGGUAGUUCGAAUCUACUCACCCCGA